AUACCAGCACCCCGAGUGGUCGGGACGAUUAUUGGGCCUAAAGCAUCCGUAGCCGGUCUUGCAAGUCUUCCGUUAAACCCACCUGCUUAACAGAUGGGCUGCGGAAGAUACUACAAGACUAGGAGGCGGGAGAGGCAAGCGGUACUCAGUGGGUAGGGGUAAAAUCCUCUGAUCCAUUGAAGACCACCAGUGGCGAAGGCGGCUUGCCAGAACGCGCUCGACGGUGAGGGAUGAAAGCUGGGGGAGCAAACCGGAUUAGAUACCCGGGUAGUCCCAGCUGUAAACGAUGCAGACUCGGUGAUGGGCCGGCUUCAUGCCGGCUCAGUGCCGCAGGGAAGCCGUUAAGUCUGCCGCCUGGGGAGUACGGUCGCAAGACUGAAACUCAAAUGAAUUGACGGGG
rnacentral:rRNA from 1 species